UCAGAAGAUGCACUAUCUAAUUCAUGAGAAAUACGAAAUUUCAGGUGUUUAUCUUCUUCCUUACUUUUGGGGUCUACAACCAGCAUAUCUUCAUGGCUGUGAAAUUCAUGGCUGUGGAAUUCACGGCUGACUUUGGAAAGUUCCUGACUAUCAAUCACAUCGGAAUGCUCAUUGCUCUCAUCAUUGGCUUUCCGCUUAUAUAAUCUGGACUGCUUGUGGCUGUGGGUUUCAGCACUCUGGUCAUCCAGCUGACUCGUUUCAUAACUGUCCUUCCCACGGCUGUCCCAAUCAGAAGGCGCGUUCAGGUCCUGGGCAACGGGGAUGGCCUUGUAUGCACCAUUCAACUCCUCGCUUUCCAUGUGUGAGGUGAUGUCCUCGUCUGUAGCAUCAGGGAUUUACCUGGAUGUCAGGUCUGCGAAACUUCUUAGAUUUUGACCUCAGUCCAUAAACCACACUAUCACCUCGGCCAUCAUAUGUGUCUACUGUGGGGACAACUGGAGUGAAAACUUCGGUUGCUGGCAGGUCCGUGGGAAAAUCAGUGACCAGUUCAUCAGAUUCAUCAGAAUGGUGAGACUCAUCAGACUGGUGAGAAUCAUCAGUGUCAUCUACAUCAUCAGAGUCGUUCGAGUCAAUGGAGUCCUGGCUGUCCACAUGGUCAUCAUCAUCUUCAUCAUCCAUAUCAUCCAUGUGGUCAUGGCUUUCG
rnacentral:lncRNA from 10 species